GCGUUCGUAGCUCAGGUGGUUAGAGCACACGCCUGAUAAGCGUGAGGUCGGUGGUUCGAGUCCACUCGAACGCACCA
rnacentral:tRNA from 1 species